GAUGAAGAACGCAGCGAAAUGCGAUAAGUAAUGUGAAUUGCAGAAUUCAGUGAAUCAUCGAGUCUUUGAACGCACAUUGCGCCCCCUGGUAUUCCGGGGGGCAUGCCUGCCCGAGCGUCAUUGCUGCCCUCAAGCACGGCUUGUGUGUUGGGCCCCGCCCCCCGGCUCCCGGGGGGCGGGCCCGAAAGGCAGCGGCGGCACCGCGUCCGGUCCUCGAGCGUAUGGGGCUUCGUCACCCGCUCCGUAGGCCCGGCCGGCGCCCGCCGGCGACCCCCCUCAAUCUUUUCAGGUUGACCUCGGAUCAGGUAGGGAUACCCGCUGAACUUAAGCAUAUCAAUAAGCGGAGGA
rnacentral:misc_RNA from 1 species